rnacentral:lncRNA from 1 species
UCCGCUCCCUAUACUUGGUGCUUGUAUAGACUCCAAAAUGCAGCUAAGGUCCGUCAGUAUGCUUCGAAAUGACUAAGGCCACCUGCUGCUCAUAUCUAUGGAAGACAUCCACCCUAAUCGAGCCAUAAUGUCAUAUCAUCAGGAUACCCCUGGACAACCCUCUAGACUCCAUUGCGUAUGUGCUCCACGCCAUCGAAAUCCGAUGUCUAG